rnacentral:lncRNA from 1 species
AUUUUGAGAUUUGCAUAUUGCACACGACCUUCAAAAUUACCCCCAAAAUACAUGACUUUUCAAUUUAAUCGCAAUUUGCACCCGCGUUGACUAACACUUUGAUCGGUGGUGACGUGGCCAUCGGAUUUUGUUGACGUGGACGCACCGGCGAUCAAGUAAAACGACGUCGUUUUUGUCAAGUUUUUUUAAAAUAAAAAAAACAAAAAAAAACAUGAAAUCCGGCGCCCCCUCCCCC